AGAUCACCCCUGAUUCUGUCCUGGGAACCUGGUCCUGGCUGGCCUCCAGCAGCCUGGCUCAUUGCUAUUCUAUACCAUCCCUUCUCCAUCCUCGCCCUCAUUUCAGCCCCUCCACUGCAGCAUCAGAAUUGAGACUCAAAAUGCAGCCUGCUGCAGUCUCUAUAGGGGUCUCUGUUUUCAGGCCUGCAUAAAACUGUCUCUCCUGCAGGCAUGGGGAAGGAGUGGUACAUCAGACCCUGUGUGCCUAUCUCCACACCUGGUUGCCUUAGGCUGAGCCUCCUCAUCCCUACGGGUUCCUCGCAGCAGCUCUCAAGUCUAAUGGGGUAAAAAUCUUCCUUUUGUCCCAUUGGGCAGCCACCACUUGGUAUCAAGAUCAGCAUACAGGAAGCCUAUCUCCUGUCCUAUAGAGUAGGGUCAAUAAGAGCCAGGAGACCUGAGCUUUGGUUUACCUGAGACCUUGGUCAAGUCUGUUUUCAUCUUUGAAGUUUCCCAUCAAUAAGAUAAGGUAAUGAUUAAAGAGUAUCAGAUUUUCCCAGCAUUCUUGGCAGACAUGUUACCACUGGCUGAUGAAUUGUGAAGAAUAUUCUGAGGUCUCAGACAGUCCAUGUACUUUAUUAGGCCCCAAGUUUUUUUACCUGUUAAAUGGGAGUACCCCUCACAAGGGUAGGGCAAGGGUGUGACGGAGAAGGGGAUGUGGCGGCCAAACCCAAAGGCUUUGAUCACCAGAAUCUGCUAGGUGAUGUGUCCAGCUAACUAGCACUCUACCAGUUCUACCCUCUCUGUUUUUCCUGACCAGGAGAAAGUGACUCAAGGGGACUAGCUUCUUGGGGCUCAGAGGAUCUGGUGGCAAGCAAGACAGGUUAAUUGGGGUGUGGGGCCACCUGCUGGUCACUGGGAUAAGCAUUCAGUGGACACCUACUAUGUGCCAGAGCCUGAAAGAGAACCCGUGGAACAGACUACAAUAACAUAACGAAGAGCUGCUGUUUACCCAGUGACUUCCAUCUGCCUACUGUGCUGGGGGUUUAUAUGGAUCUUCUCACUUAAGCCCCAUCUUACAGACAGAGAAACUGAGCCCCAAGCUCUUAGCCAUAGCCCUCUGCCCCAAAGGAGGCUGGAGGAAGGAAAUGCUACUCUUGGCUGGGGACAAUCACAGAAGACUUCCCAGAUGUGGUGACAAUGUGAACUCAAAAAGCAAGACAGGGGCUGGGGAUGUGGCUCAAGCGGUAGCGCGCUCGCCUGGCAUGCGUGCGGCCCGGGUUCGAUCCUCAGCACCACAUACAAACAAAGAUGUUGUGUCCG
rnacentral:lncRNA from 1 species